UGGGGAAUAUUGCACAAUGGGCGCAAGCCUGAUGCAGCCAUGCCGCGUGUGUGAAGAAGGCCUUCGGGUUGUAAAGCACUUUCAGCGAGGAGGAAGGUGGUGAGCUUAAUACGCUCAUCAAUUGACGUUACUCGCAGAAGAAGCACCGGCUAACUCCGUGCCAGCAGCCGCGGUAAUACGGAGGGUGCAAGCGUUAAUCGGAAUUACUGGGCGUAAAGCGCACGCAGGCGGUUUGUUAAGUCAGAUGUGAAAUCCCCGGGCUCAACCUGGGAACUGCAUUUGAAACUGGCAAGCUAGAGUCUCGUAGAGGGGGGUAGAAUUCCAGGUGUAGCGGUGAAAUGCGUAGAGAUCUGGAGGAAUACCGGUGGCGAAGGCGGCCCCCUGGACGAAGACUGACGCUCAGGUGCGAAAGCGUGGGGCAGCAAACAGGAUUAGAUACCCUGGUAGUCCAGCGCUGUAAAACGAUGUCGAUUUGGAGGUUGUGCCCUUGAGGCGUGGCUUCCGGAGCUAACGCGUUAAAUCGACCGCCUGGGGAGUACGGCCGCAAGGUUAAAACUCAAAUGAAUUGACGGGGUC
rnacentral:rRNA from 1 species